UGACCCUUUGUGUUGGUGUUUCCUUCAUUUGGGCAGUUACCUGUAGAUGUGGCCUAUGCAGGAAUCAAACUCAUAAUAGGGAUAUUGCUGCAAACAACUGGUGUACCUGGCAUUGGUGUGUACAUUGACCUAUUGGAGAACACACACACACACACACAAACACACUUCACUGUUGGAAGGCGUAUGAAAAUCAGGGUCAUGACUGACUCAACAAAAAUGUCUAAAGGUGAAAAAUUCGAAUGGUUCUCUCUGCCUCUCGCACUUAUCCUCCACUCUUCUCCUCCACUCUUAUCCUCCACUCUUCUCCUUUUCACUUCUUUCUUUCUUUUCUUCUUCUCUCAUUCUUUUUUUGUGCCUGUCUUUGAAGUGAGGAAGUUUGCAGAAAACCUCUCAGAAGAAAAGCAGCAAACGCCAAAGAUGAAGAGAAGGCUUUAUGGAUAGAGAAACAGAGAAUGGGGAGAAAGGAGAGCGAGGAGUUUAGACUUCUGCACUGUUUCCUCUCUCUUCAGUCUGUCUGUCGUUUUUUUUGAAGCGCAUUGUCUCUCUUCUCUUCUUCUCUCCCCUGUUUUUCUCAAGCUGGUCAUCUCCAGAAUGAAUAGAAGGCUUGUACUUACAGUCCUGGCCCUGAAUGUUGUAACCAAUGAAAUCAAGGUAUCCACCUCCCAACCUCUCACACCAUCCAACUCCACUCCUGCUACCUUCAUUCCCCCUGCUCCCACCACUUCCUGUGUGUGUAAAGUCUCCACUUCCUGUUCCUCUCCGACCCAGCCCGAGUCUCCGCCACCUGCGCUGGGUGUUAUCAAGGUCAAAUGGGAAGAAAAGUCCUGUAAGGGGGACGUACACCUGUCUCUCCUCUCGUCCCAUUCCUUGCCAGUUUGCUUUAACAGUCUUACCCAUCGUAGUCUUCAUCGCGCAGGGCUGUGUAAGAGGAAGGGCUGCGAGGGCUCCCCAACAUGGACUAAGAUCAAUCCUAAAGCUUUGGGUUACCAGAUCAGUACGAAUGGAAGUGUUGCCAACAACCCCUGUACAACACUGGGGAUCCAAUGCGAAGUGUCAGACAAGAGGCAGAGUCGGUGGAUCGGACCUACACAGAGCCAAAGUGUCUCCUACCAUAGAGGGAAGGCUGGACUCCAACUUAACGACAACACAGACAAGAGACACUCCUACCCUGGAUUGGAGAGGCUGACGGUGAACACCAGCCGAGAGCCUUCGUCUAACAGAAACAGUGAUUACGACUCUUAUAACUUGUGA
rnacentral:lncRNA from 1 species